rnacentral:rRNA from 1 species
AGCGAACGCUGGCGGCAGGCCUAACACAUGCAAGUCGAGCGCCCCGCAAGGGGAGCGGCAGACGGGAGAGUAACACGUGGGAACGUACCCUUCAGUUCGGAACAACCCAGGGAAACUUGGGCUAAUACCGAAUACGUCCGUAAGGAGAAAGAUUUAUCGCUGAAGGAUCGGCCCGCGUCUGAUUAGCCAGUUGGUGAGGUAACGGCUCACCAAGGCGACGAUCAGUAGCUGGUCNGAGAGGAUGAUCAGCCUCACUGGGACUGAGACACGGCCCAGACUCCUACGGGAGGCAGCAGUGGGGAAUAUUGGACAAUGGGCGCAAGCCUGAUCCAGCCAUGCCGCGUGGGUGAUGAAGGCCCUAGGGUUGUAAAGCCCUUUCGGCGGGGAAGAUAAUGACGGUACCCGCAGAAGAAGCCCCGGCUAACUUCGUGCCAGCAGCCGCCGCGGU